rnacentral:rRNA from 1 species
GAUUGAACGCUGGCGGCAUGCCUUACACAGGCAAGUCGAACGGCAGCACGGGUGCUUGCACCUGGUGGCGAGUGGCGAACGGGGGAGUAAAACAUCGGAACAUGUCCUGUAGUGGGGGAUAGCCCGGCGAAAGCCGGAUUAAUACCGCAUACGAUCUACGGAUGAAAGCGGGGGACCAUCGGGCCUCGCGCUAUAGGGUUGGCCGAUAGCUGAUUAGCUAGUUGGUGGGGGAAAGGCCUACCAAGGCGACGAUCAGUAGCUGGUCUGAGAGGACGACCAGCCACACUGGGACUGAGACACGGCCCAGACUCCUACGGGAGGCAGCAGUGGGGAAUUUUGGACAAUGGGCGAAAGCCUGAUCCAGCAAUGCCGCGUGUGUGAAGAAGGCCUUCGGGUUGUAAAGCACUUUUGUCCGGAAAGAAAUCCUUGGCUCUAAUACAGUCGGGGGAUGACGGUACCGGAAGAAUAAGCACCGGCUAACUACGUG